UUAAGUUCAGCGGGUAUUCCUACCUGAUUCGAGGUCAACUCUAAAAAAGUUUGGGGUGUUUUACGGCAGUGGCCACCGACGGGCUCCUGUUGCGAGGUGUAUGCUACUACGCAGAGGAGGGCCGCGACGGGGCCGCCAAUUCAUUUAGGGGGCGGCGACAGGUGAUUGUCGCCGGUCCCCAACACCAAGUCCACAGGGGG
rnacentral:misc_RNA from 1 species